UACAGAGGGUGCAAGCGUUAAUCGGAAUUACUGGGCGUAAAGCGCGCGUAGGCGGUUAUUUAAGUCGGGUGUGAAAGCCCCGGGCUCAACCUGGGAAUUGCAUCCGAUACUGAGUAACUAGAGUAUGAGGGAGGGAGGUAGAAUUCCACGUGUAGCGGUGAAAUGCGUAGAUAUGUGGAGGAAUACCGGUGGCGAAGGCGGCCUCCUGGCUUAAUACUGACGCUGAGGUGCGAAAGCGUGGGGAUCAAAC
rnacentral:rRNA from 1 species